rnacentral:misc_RNA from 1 species
UGAAGUUGUCCCUUGAACUUGCGUGCCCCAGAAUGCCAGAAGGCGGCCUUGUCAUAGGCCGCCUUCUUUUUAGCCGCUA